GACGAACGCUGGCGGCGUGCUUAACACAUGCAAGUCGAACGGUAAGGCCCUUCGGGGUACACGAGUGGCGAACGGGUGAGUAACACGUGGGUGAUCUGCCCUGCACUUCGGGAUAAGCCUGGGAAACUGGGUCUAAUACCGGAUAGGACCAUUGCCUGCAUGGGUGGUGGGGGAAAGCUUUUGCGGUGUGGGAUGGGCCCGCGGCCUAUCAGCUUGUUGGUGGGGUGAUGGCCUACCAAGGCGACGACGGGUAGCCGGCCUGGGAGGGUGACCGGCCACACUGGGACUGAGAUACGGCCCAGACUCCUACGGGAGGCAGCAGUGGGGAAUAUUGCACAAUGGGCGCAAGCCUGAUGCAGCGACGCCGCGUGAGGGAUGACGGCCUUCGGGUUGUAAACCUCUUUCAGCAUCGACGAAGCGCAAGUGACGGUAGGUGCAGAAGAAGGACCGGCCAACUACGUGCCAGCCGCCGCCGUAA
rnacentral:rRNA from 1 species